rnacentral:rRNA from 1 species
CCGCAGUGAAAAGGCCCAAGCGACUGUUUAGCAAAAACACAGGUCUGUGCGAAGCCGUAAGGCGAAGUAUACGGGCUGACGCCUGCCCGGUGCUGGAAGGUUAAGGGGAGUGGUUAGGGGUGACCCGAAGCUAUGAACCGAAGCCCCAGUAAACGGCGGCCGUAACUAUAACGGUCCUAAGGUAGCGAAAUUCCUUGUCAGGUAAAUUCUGACCCGCACGAAUGGCGUAACGACUUGGGCGCU